rnacentral:misc_RNA from 1 species
GCUGCAUAGAGCCCUAACUUCUCGUUGCCUCCACAGGAUCAGCCAUAUUGAUCAAACUUCAAAUCUUCUCACAGUAGAUCAAAGAACUGCUCUCAGAUCUCAAGGAACCUAGAGAUACAAUGAAUGAAAGUAAAAUUGUAGAGAGGAGCAGAGAAUUAGCAGAGAAAUAUUAUCUCUGUAAUGCAUAAUCAAUACUCAGUAGAAUACAAGUUCAGUACAGAAGAAGCCUUAUAUACAAGCAACUAAGAAUAACAGCCAUUGCUUAGCUAAGUCCACCUGGAUAACAGACGCGUUAACUUGAUCUGACUGACUUGAGCUAAUCCUAAGCUAACACAGCUGUUACAGUAACUGAGCUAAAAAUAUCUAAAUAAAUUAACUAUUUACAUUGUUCUGCUAUGCAAAUCCCAUUUCCAUUUCUAGAAUAGUAAAACUACUUCAUACAUUGAAGAAUCUGCUUCUUAUACCCAGUCAUGGAUGGAUCAGGUAAGUACUUGGACCACACCUAUACAAACUGAUAAGAGGAAGUUCUUCCUUGCUUAAGCCUUCAGCAGAAAUCCAGAGAUUGAGCAACCGGGGAUGAUUCCCUUCAACAAUAAAGGCUUAUGUAUCUAACAAAAGGUGCAGAGUAAUCCCACCACCUAAGAUCCCCAUCUUAUGUCCACCAGCCAAUUGGAGUACCAAAAGCCCAAGACAAAUUUCACGGUUAAGAGGAUCAAACUCCACUUUCAAUUCAUGCUUAGCUUGAAUGACACUGUUUGCCUUCCUAUAGGCAUAAACCAAGAUUCCUGUUUUCACAUUCUACUGGUAUGGAACUCGAUAAAUAAUUUGGUGGCUUCUGAAGACAUAAUACAUUUAGCAAGCUCUAACAAGCUACAUAAUUUUGGAUAACUAACAAUAACAUGCACCAAUAUUCAUCCCAACAUAUCUUGAUCCUGAGGAAAGGGAAGCCAUCAUCUUCGUCUUACAAAACACAAAAUAUAAGCACUUCAAGGAUUAAUAGUUGAAGAAAACAAAUGAGGAAUCAAAGCAUUAAUAUAACAAAAACAAAAUUGCCAUCCGAGAGAAUAAUGAAAAGUGAAAUUCAGUUAUCAAAACUAUUCAUAAUAUUAUCAGUUAUCAAAACAUCGCAUGCUAGGCUAUAUGUCUCCUAAUCCAGAAUUACAGAUUUAUCAUCAAAACCAAAUCCAAGUUCUGUAAGCCCCAUUUUUCCUUGAAAGAUAUCCAAUAAUUGAGGCACCUGAUCCUGAUACUUGGUCACAAACCUUUCCAAGAAAUACUCUUCCGUAGUACUCAAGACCGAGGAUACAGGCAAAUCUGCCUCGAUCAAACUCUGUAAAAGCAAAACUCUCACGACUGAACAUCUAGGCUUAAUCCUAGUCUCCAAACCAUAGGACAGAACAACUGGAACUCUAACAACAGCAGCAGGCUGCCAACCCA